UCAGGCAUCUAUUGAAGACGUCGUUGUUCUUCUGUAGUAGACAAGGUCAAAAGGCAGCCAAAAAUGUUACUUUCACCGACGGUCGCUGUGCAGUUUGACAGGAACUAACUGGGCAACAUUAACGUGAAGGACACCU